GGAGAGGUGACUGAGAGGCUUAAAGUGCACGCUUGGAAAGCGUGUGUAGGUACCCCCUACCGCGGGUUCGAAUCCCGCCCUCUCCG
rnacentral:tRNA from 1 species